GGGUUACACAGCCGCAUCAAAGGAGCUUCAUGUCCAUUGCACUCUCCGUGCCCAGCAAGACUACGAAGGGAUUUAAAUCAAGUGAAUUUGUGUAGAGCUCAUUAAAAUGCAAAGCACUCCAAGGAGCUGGUAAGAGAAACAAAUAUAUUUUAGAAACCCCUAGGCAUAAUAAGGAAGGAGGGAAGGAAGGAAGGAAGGAGAGAAGGAGGGAGGGAGAGAAGGAAGGAAGGAAGGAGGGACGGAAGGAAGGAAGGAGGGAGGGAUGGACGGAAGGAAGGAGGGACGGAAGGAAGGAGGGAAGGAAGGAAGGAAGGAAGGAAGGAAUUAGUUUGGAAGUGCAGCAUCCUCUGGUUUCUGUUCUGGUUCCUGCAAUUUCUCCGGUUCUGAAAUUUCUCUAAUUAACUACAUAAGAUUUGAAGGUUAAAGGAAAAUUAUGCUCAGUCUUGACUGUGAUACAGAAAAGUCAACAAACAGACUCCUUAACACUGUUUUGAAAUUGUAAAAAAGCAGACUUUUAUUACAGUAUGCUAGACGCUUGGAGGAUUGUUCCUCUAAGUGAGCACACAUGUGAUUCACACUUCUUGAUAUUUAUUACAUAUUACCUAUUGCAUAGUCUUUUGUUUCUACUGCUUAGCUAAUGCAUUAAACAUAAAUUAUUUCCAUAACCCCGCCCCUUGCUGACAGUCCAUCAUUGGUAUUCCAGAGUCUUCAGCAGGGUCUCUAGUGGUCCCUGGUGUCUUCACAGCUGGUGCCCCCAGCGUCAGCUCCUGGACCUGAUUUAUUGAGCAUGCAUUUGUCAUUUUGUGCUGCUACCCAGCAAAGUGACGCAGCUCCUUCUUCAUUCAGUGGAACAAUCCGCUUUCCCAGCUUGCAGGCCAAGGACAUCCCACUUUGCCUCCUACAGUCUCUAUAGAGCUCUAGAUGAGGUUUCGGUUACAUUAUGCCUAGGGGUUUCUAAAAUAUAUUUGUUUCUCUUACCAGCUCCUUGGAGUGCUUUGCAUUUUAAUGAGCUCUACACAAAUUCACUUGAUUUAAAUCCCUUCGUAGUCUUGCUGGGCACGGAGAGUGCAAUGGACAUGAAGCUCCUUUGAUGUGGCCGUGUAACCCCCUGCAACUCAGGACCGGUGCUUCUUCACACCCAGCAGCAGAGAGGUUACAACCUCCUUCUGUUUUCCUCAACAUUUGCUCAAACUCAGAACCAGUGGGAACCAAGCAGGUCCUCUUCAUCUGAUUUCAACUAGAGAGAAAGAAACUGUAAUGAGAGAUGCCCCUUUCUGCAGAUUGGGCUGAACUUUGUCAAGCUCUAAAUGGAUGUAAGAAAACAACUUGCAGAGGUGCUGCCAGGCUGCUCCAGCCCCGGGCUGAGCAGCUCGCCCCGGACCACUCUGGUCCCUUCGGCGGGAUGUGCCCUGGGGACAGAGGAGCGAGGCCGAGACGGGCAGGAGCAGCCCGGGGCGAGGGAAAGGCCCGUCUCUCUGUGGCUCUGGCGACGUUUCUAGUCAGGCCGUGCACAGACAGCCCGUUGCUAUGGCAGCCAGGGGCUUUCCAUGGCCGGACCCGCGCGGCGCAGCCCCUGUGGCUAUGGUAACGGGUCCUUCACUGAGGGCGGCGCUGAGCGGCGGCGGGGCCGGGCGGGAGUUCGGCGCGGCCGGUGGGUGACGGGCCGGUUACCCCGGUUCCCCCGGGUGGGCAGUGGGAGCCGUUGGAGGACCUUGGUGAAGGUGCAGGAGACCCACGGCCAACGGGAGGAGAUGCUGCGGCAGGAGAAGGAGCAGUGGGUGGCCCAGCUGCUGUGGCAGUGACAGGACACGGCGCAGGAGUGGGCAGAGCUGCUGGUGCAGCACCAGCCACACCUGACUGCGCUGGAGGUCUGGGCACCUUCAUGUUGCCCAGGAUGAUGGGCCCCAACCACCGUGCAAACAGCUGCCAGCCCCUGCAAUUCCAUGAAGUGAAAGUCAGUGGGAUCACUACAAUGCUGAUCUCACCAAGUUUGUAGAAGAAGUAAUAUCAGCGUUCUACAGUGGACAUUGAGCCAGAGGGUCUUCUGAAGACAUCUGAAUGGGGAGGAGACCAGUCCCUUGAAGUCAGACACUGUAUGGACAACCUUGCUCUUCACCCCCCCCAGUCCCACAAGUCCCCUCAUCAGCCACCUGGGACUUGCAUCACUUUUCCUCACAUCAGACUUCUUCACUGAGAUCUGCAGCUGGAUGGUGCAGCUCCUGUACACCAGCUCCCACCUUCUCUCCUUAGAGACCUGGCUGGGCACAAGCACUGAAAGGUUUCUGUUCAAUGCCAACAAAGAAAACAUAAACAGUACACAACUAAAUAAGCAGUAAACCACUUUCCUUAACUGUAUAUCUAAGCUGGGUUUACCCCGCAAAGACUUAAAGCAUAAAGAGAAGAUCGUUUCGUGUGUUGCACAGAGCCCGUGCCCCCAAAACCUUCCCUGCCCAGGACUUCUCAGUGUUUUCCCAGAGAGAGUCACGCUGAUCUGUUGACCUCUUUGCUGGUUAGGAUGUUGUUUUAGAUGGUCACCUGCAGCACUGGAGGAUUCAUGCCCCAUAAACAUCUGCCCUACUCCAGUCAGAAACAGGGUCCAACAUCAUCAUAGGAUAAGAGAACUGAGGUUGGAAAGGACAUCAGGAAGUCUGCAGUCCAACCUGUCAGAUGGACCAAGUUGUUCAAGGCUUGGUUGAGUCUGAGCUCGAAAACCCCCAUGAACAGAGACUGCAAACCCUCUCUGAGUUCCUGGCUGAGUACGUGGGGGAAAAGUUUUCCAUAUGUCGUGGCUGAAACUCUCUUCUUUCACCUUCCAACCAUUUUCUGUUGUACCUCUACCAUGCACCAUGGAUAAGAACCUGGCUCUGCGUUCUCCAUCACCUCCUCAUUGGUACUGACAGGCUGUGAUGAGGUCCCCGUCAACUUUCCUGUCUCUGGGCUGGACAAGCCCGGCUCCCUCAGCCUCUCCUCACAGGGAAACUGCUCCAGUCCCUCACUGCCCUGAGGGCCCUUUGCUAAACCCGCUCCAGCUUGCCAAUAUCUUUCCUGAAUUGGGAUCCGAAGUCUGGGUGGAGUAGUCCAGAGAAUCUGCUCCCUUGAUCUCCUGGUGGCACAGCCCAGGGUGCUCCUGGCCUCCCUUGCACCAGGGCACACGCUGCCUCCUGUCCAGCUCCCUGCCCACCCAGACCUUUCCCACAGGGCUGCUCCCAGCCAGGCAGCCCCGGCCUGUGCCACUGCCAGGGUGAGUCCCCUGCAGGGGCAGACACUGGUGUUAGUCCUGCUGGGGUUUCCUGAGGUUCCUGCCAAAGAUGUGUUUUCCUCGAAGCCCUUCACUGAGCACAGAGGCCUGGGAGGGUGUUUCAGUAAAGACCCAGGCACAGCAGGCAUUGAGUCCCUCAGCACCAGCAUCACACUCUGCUGUUAUUAAAUUCCCCUCAGCAGCAGCCCCGCAUUUCCCUUGUUCAGCCUUGGUCUCUAACACAGAUCUUGAAGCUCUUGGUUUGCUCCUUAGCUUUUCCUUUCCCAAAGUCACCCCUGCACAGCAAACGCAAUGUACAUAAACUCCAUAUCUCUACCUGUCCUUGCUGUCACCCCUGGUAGCUGCUUCAUGGCCCCUGUCUGCACCUUGUGCUGUGACAGCCCAGACCUGCUGCCCCACAGAUGGUCCCACAGCCCCACAGUGCAGGCUCAGCACAGGACAGAGUGCAUUUGGGGUGGGGAAUGGUCUUCCGAUGUGAUGCCCACAGCAGUCCUUGGUGCUUUGUCACCCAUUGCCUUCCUGUUGUGCAGCCUCUCCAAGCUCCUGGAGAGGCCGUGUCACCUGUGGGGUCACAGACAGCCCUGCUCCAGGGUCUGCAAGGGUCUGGGCCAGGAGAGAGGCUGGGCAGGGCUGGCCAUUCCCUGAGACAGGCCCUGAGCCCAGCAGGAGGAUGGAGAUGGCCUCACAGGGAACCUCACCCGUAAACCUGGGAUGAGCGGCCAGUGCUGGAAAUGGCCCAUGAGAGAUGGCCAGUGGUUGGGUGGUGCCUAAGGCCCUGGGCCACCUUCCUGGUCUGUCCAUGCCACCACGGGCACAGAGCAGCCUCCUCUCUCCUGCACCUGCAUGUCUUUGAUCCCUUCGACAAGCCCUGGCUCUGCACCACAGACCCUGGUGUGCAUCUUCACCCUGCAUAGCCCUGCAGCACGAUACACAGGCUGAUGUGUGUGAGCUCCCUCGAGGCUCUGCCACCUUCCCUGCCCUCUCUCUACCCCCAAUGCCCUCUCCCCAGCAAAGCCCAGUCAGGGCUGGUCCCACAUCAAUUCCCAGUGCAGGUGCUCUGGGCAGUCACCCCACAGCCUCUGCCCCUCUGAAGGGCACAGCAGCUCCUGGGGCUCAGAGAGGGGUCACCCCAUAGGUGGGUGAACAUGCAUUGCAAAAGGAAAAGGAGGCACCCUGUGUCCUUUGCUCUCCUCUCCACAUGAUCCUGAGAGGUCUGCACACCCUCAUGCCAUCCCGUCUCUGCAGGCCAGCACAAAAGCCCUGGCCCUUGAGGUCCUUAAGAGCUCUUACUGCUCCAGACACAGAGCAGCCUUCCCAAAGCUGGUGCAGCCAGAAAGCUCUUUUCAUUUCCCAUUCAUCCCUGACACAAUGAGGAUAGAUAUCAGACAAAAAAAAAAAAAAUUUGUGGCAGGUCCAUUUGUUUCAUUUUAAUACAAUGAGAGACUCCCCAUUUACACAUUUUCUGGGUCACACUACGUGGGUGGAUACUUAAGCAGGAAGGGAUGAACAGUGACAUUUCGUGGAAGACACCAAUAGUGCAAGUGAAAAAACAACAAAAAAAAUGUAAAGAAGGCAGACUUGGCCUGUCGUGACAUACACUGGGAGCCGUUUGCAGGCAGAAUCAGGCAGUCUAUGGCUGCUGAAAACAUCUAGUCAUCAGCUUCCUCAGUGCAUCUUUGAGCUCCUGGAUCCUCAUGCUGUAGAUGAGGGAGUUCAAUGUUGGAGGUACAUACGGGGACAGAAAUGCCAUCACCAGAUUCAGGGAUGGGGAGGAGAUGGUUGGGGGCUUCAGGCAGGCAAAUGCACCAGUGCUGACAAACAAGGAGACCACGGGAAAAAAAAAAAAAAAAGACCUGGCUAACACAUCCUGUGUAGGAGAUGGCCCUGGUGUCCCACAGGCCAUGGACUGGGGGACAGUGGCCCAGAUUGAGGAGUGAGAGGCUGAGGAGGAAGAAGUACAUGGGGGUGUGCAUGUGCUGGUCACAGGCUAUGGUGAUGAUGAUGAGGCCGUUGCCCAGGAGGGCAGCCAGGUAGAUGCCCAGGAAGAGCCAGAAGUGCAAGAGCUGCAGUUCCCGUGUGUCUGUGAAUGCCAGGAGGAGGAACUGGGUGAUGGAGCUGCUGUUGGACAUUUGCUACCUCUGAGCAUGGGGACUGUCCAAAGAGAAAAAGGUUAAGCUAGGUAAGGUUAAUUUGAGCAAAAUACCUUCAAUAUCUCAUAGAAAUCCCCAAACUGCCUUUCUUUCAAAAAGACUUUUGGCAAAGCACUUUUCAUGAGCUCUGCUUUGGUCUGAUUGAUGGUGUCACUGGGAGCAGGAGCUCUGCUGUAGGCUCUGCAGGAGUCAGUCCUGCCCCACAGCAAUAGGUAAACAGGAACAUAGGGUGAUCUCACAUUAAAUUCUCCUGUGAUAUUUAAGAGGUUUUCGGCAUUGUCACUCCCAGUUCACCCUACUGCAGAGCAAAUCUGAGGGGAUUUUUUUUUUUUUUUUUUACUUCUCAUUUGUGUUGCCCUGAACCUGCAGAUUAGGGGAGGACUUGGACACUUUACUCCCAUGGAUACCUCUGCAUGGCGGGACUCACAGAACUGGUCUCUGAACUGCAGCUUAACCCAAACCCCAUCCCAGAAGUUCCAGGGUUAAGAACAAGGUGAGCAAAGACAGGAGAGGAAAAAGGGACAAAUGCCACAGAGCUGUUGCUGAUUGAGCCAGGAGACAGACAGACAGUUGGGUGUUUAGUAAUUUCUCCUUUUGAGUGGUGAGGCUGAUGAGCACCCAUAGCCUUAAGAGAAGAGGUGGGAGAGGGCACCAGGAGAUUACUCCAUGUUAGGUAUCUGCACUGCAGGGGGGCAGGGAGGUUCCCAAACCACCAUCCCAUGGCAUUUGUGGGAGAACGUCUUUCUCCAUCCUUGCAUAUUUCUCUGCUGCCUGGAGCUUAUCCCUGCCAAGAGUUAUUUCUCUGUCCCUCUGUCUCUUCCCUUUUCUGUGCUCACAGAGCCCACCUCAUUCACUGUGUGCUCAGCUCUGCCCUGCAGACACCCCUGUCACUGGGGCACUGCCCAGGGGCAGCUCUGUGUGUGCAGGGGCUCAGGAGCAGCUCUGACAAGUCCUAACAAGAACUGGGAACUCAGUGUCUUUCAAGAACAGAGAAGUAAAUUCCCAUCUCCUGCUGCCCACCCAGCCAACCAAGAGUGGAAUAAGGAAAGCAGACUCCUUCCCUUUCAUCUGUUCCUGCCUUCAGAAAGAACCUCUGCAUUUGCUGUCAGGGUGAUCUGGAACUCUGAGCAGCCCUGUACCACACAGCACCCUCUCAACCCCAGAAGCACCCUUCCUGCCCUGCCAGAGGUUUCUCCUUCCACCCACAGCUUCUCCCCACAGCCCAUUGGGGAAAUUCCCGGGCAGGCUGAGCGCUGACCCUGGCAGGUGGCAGAGUCCCUGCCCAGCACACAGCCCAGGGGUGCAGGGACCCUGCUCUGCAGGACAGCCCUGGGCACCCCUGCGUGCUCACCCCUGCAGGCACCCUCAUCAGAAGGUGUCGUCGUGUCCUGUCGCUCUGACAGUGCAGUGGGUAAGCCCUGCUCUGGAGCAUGUUCUUCUCUGCAACAGAGAUACUGUGAGAGAAACCUGACAGAUCCUGUAAACUGUGGGAUGUACCAGCUUUAGGAGAUCCCUCCAGAAACCACAUCUGCAUUGUCCUACAACCAGAGACUUUCCAUGUUAACACUGUGAACAUUUGUCUCUCAGUGAGCUGUCAGCAUCCUCCCACUCCACGUUGCCUCUAACCUCUCUCUGCCUGUCUCCUCUGCCCUCGGUGCUGCAGGCAGAGCCCUCAGCCCUGCUGCAUUUGCAGAGGAGCUGCUGCUGGGCAGAGCUGUCUCUGCAGCGCUGCCACUUGCCAUGAGCUGUGACAUGGAUGGAAUAAACUGCCAUGGCAGUGUGACAGAAGUUACUUCAUCUCAUCUUCAAGGACAGCAGCCUCCAAGCACAGCAACAGUCCAGACUGAAACUCAGUCUAAACCUGUAAUGCAAUUCAAGGGCACAAUAAGGAGCUGUUAUUACUUCAGGAAGAAUUAAAGAAGGAACAAAGACACUGUGUGAUCAGUGCUGAAUUUAGUAAGUGAUAGAGGUGAGAAUCUCUGUGUCCUCUUGUCCUUCGUCUUCACCAUCAAGGUCUCCCAGGCCUCUGUGACUCGAGGAAGGAAUCUGGAGGAGAACAACCAGCAGUGGAUGGGGAUCAAGUCAGGGGUCACUUGAACUAACACAAUCCUUUCCAGUCUAUGGGACAGGAGGAGAAGCAUCCCACAGAGCUCAGAGACAGCAGGACGAUGUCACAGUGAGGCCACUCUCCACCAUCUUUGAAAGCUCAUGGAGACUGGGGCAACUCCAUGACUACUGUCAGCACUCACACGUUGCAUGCAUUUUUCAAAAAUGGCCAAUGAAUGUGCAGGGGAACUAAGGGCUGUGUCCCAGAGCGUGUCCACCGGGACCCCAUUUCUGGGUGUCUGGAAGAGAAGGUGAAGGGGUUUACCCAGGGCAGGUUGUGCCUGUCCAUCCUCUUUGCUUUCUGUGAGGAAAGAACAGGGUUGUGGAUGUGGGCAGAGCAGUGGUGGUCUGUUACCUGGAAGACAGGAAGGCACUCAGUGUCAUUCCCCACAACAUUCUUGUGUCCAAGGGAGGAUAUUAUGGUCUGUAUCGAUGUCUAAGUAAUGGUUAAAAAACAAGCAGGAUAGUUUGGGUUAGAAGAAUACCAGAUAAAGGGAGAAACUUUUCAAUCAUGAGCAUAGUCGGGUACUGGGAGCUGUUUCCCAUGGAGUGUGCACCCACUCUAUCCCAGAAAGCGACUAAGAUGUGCUUGGAUAAAGCCCUGAGUAAUCUGGUCUGACCCUGCUUUGAGCAGGAGAUUGGUCAAGAAACCUCCCAAGGCCUCUUUGAGUCUGAAUGAUGCUGUCCUUCCUUCCCCUUCAUGUUUUCAAAUUAGGGAGAGCUCUCACGUUCUCCCUGACUACAGAAAUAAUUUGCAUCAAGUACAGGACCGCUUUACAAGUACCUCCAAACCGUCCUGACCACAUGUUUUCCAUCCCUUUUCAUUUCCCCCGCCCCAAGUUCUUUUUUGCUAUGCUAAUACUAUUCCAAAAAGAACAGCCCACCUUGUUCAUCCUGUCAGAGCAGGUUGCUCAGUAGAUGUCAGCAUCCAUGUACAGAGUCUGCACAUCAGCGAGGCAUCAAAGCCACCAUUACAGAAAUGGAGACAAGCCUCUUGACCAGCUCCUUGAACCCAGGAAUCAGCACACCUUGUCUCCUGAGAUUGCCAAGAACACCUAAACUCUAAGUGCAGAGCAGAGUGAGUCCUCGUUGGGUAUCCUGGCUUGUCUCCUGACACAUGUGGUGCUUCAGGCUGUGAAGAGAAUCAAAAACAACUUUUUGACUGGAGUAGUUUUGUUUUACAUUGCUGUCCCACAGGGCACCUGAAAGGAGCACAGAACUCCAGACUCUGCUGCACUGUUGGGACUUCAGAGACUGGAAAUGCAGGUAACAGUGUUUGUCAGCGUGCAUCACGUAAAUAUUCUGGCUUCCUUUGUGCCUUUGCACCAACCUGGGAUCUGUUCUAUGGCAUUAUUUGGCUAAAAGAAAAACAACAACUCCCCUAUGCCACACCUCUCUCAAGCCAGGGGAAAAAACAAAAAAACAAAAAAAAGCCCAACCAAACAAACAAACAAGAAAACCCACCACACACACACACACAAAAAACCCAGAAACCAAAGAAACAAACAAACAAAAAAACCGAAAACAACAACAACAACAAAAACACCCAAUGACAAGAAAACACACACACAAAAAAACAAGCACAAAUAAAACCCAAAAAAACCUGAGAAUCGUAGAAUCGUAGAAUCACAGAAUCAUUUAGGUUGGAAAAAACCCUUCUGAUCGUCAAGUCCAACCAGAAACCUAACUCUGCCAAGUCCACCAUGAAACCA